rnacentral:tRNA from 2 species
GGAGGGAUGCGAGAGCGGACGAAUCGGCACGCCUGGAGAGCGUGUGUGGUCUUUCGGCCACCGUGGGUUCGAAUCCCACUCCCUCCG